rnacentral:rRNA from 1 species
UUACGGGUUGCAGCAGUGGGGAAUAUUGCACAAUGGAGGAAACUCUGAUGCAGCAACGCCGCGUGGAGGAUGACACUUUUCGGAGCGUAAACUCCUUUUAUAUAGGAAGAAGAUGACGGUACUAUAUGAAUAAGCGCCGGCUAACUCCGUGCCAGCAGCCGCGGUAAUACGGAGGGCGCAAGCGUUACUCGGAAUCACUGGGCGUAAAGAGCGUGUAGGCGGAUUAAAAAGUCAGAAGUGAAAUCCUAUAGCUUAACUAUAGAACUGCUUCUGAAACUCUUAAUCUAGAAUAUGGGAGAGGUAGAUGGAAUUUCUGGUGUAGGGGUAAAAUCCGCAGAGAUCAGAAGGAAUACCGAUUGCGAAGGCGAUCUACUAGAACAUUAUUGACGCUGAGACGCGAAAGCGUGGGGAGCAAACAGGAUUAGAUACCCUAGUAGUC